AAACUCACACAAACGCAUGCACACGUGUAGCACAUAUGUUCUUUGGGACCUGAAGGAAGUUUUUUUUAACUGAGUGUGUUGUUUCUCUAGAGCUCACGGUUGUGAAAAUGCAGCUGUGUAAAUCCACAUCGAACCGAAAAAACAACAGGCCGUGUUGAUCCAAAACAAGGCAUUGAGUUGAGCGCGUCUGAUUAGUAAAGAGUCUGAUUGUGAAAUGAGUCUGGAUGUCAGGUACAGAAGAUCUGUAAGCUAUUAUUAUGGAAGAGUCUGGGUCUCUGGGUGGGUCACAGGGAGGCAGUGAAGUUUGGCAGGUGUCACAAAACAAAAGCUGAACAUGACCUUUUGUGUGUUCUUUCAGAAGAUGAAGAGGAGGAUGAAGAUGUCACAGAAAUGAAAGCUGGCCCUGAAAAUGACCUGCAGGAGGAGGAAGAAAGCAAGGACACAAAGGAAGGCCACCCGCGGGAGCUGACGGAGGAAGAGUAACAGCAGGUUUUGCACUCGGAGAAGUUCCUCAUCUUAUUCGCCUGCAGUAUUUGUGCGAUGGAAAGAGCUUUAGCUGAGGACUCCAACAUCUUCUUCGACUACAGCGGACAAGUCCCGGAGGUUAAAGGGAGACCUGCAGGGUGGCUCCAGUCUCUCUCUCAAUUGUCUGUUCUAUGAUGAGCACUGGUCAAAGCAUCGAGUCAUCACCUGUCUGGACUGGUCCCCUCAGUACCCUGAGCUCUUUGUGGCCUCCUACAACAACAACGAAGACACUCCUUAGAGCCAGACGGUGUGGCUUUGGUGUGGAAUAUGAAAUGGAAGAAGACCACACCAGAGUACAUCUUCCAAUGCCAGACUCUCUGCUUCAGGCAGUUUCAGAUAGCCACUCCUUUUCAGACGGUUGUGGAAUAUUUCUGAGGUGGUUUGGGUUUGUUUUGGGCUCUGUGUGGUGUGAUCUUGGCUCUCUGAUCCCUGCUGUUCUUUUGGGCCCAUCAUCACAGCAGGCCAAGUUCGCCAGUAACAUCACAUGACCUUUUAAAGUGGGCUGCCUCUCGCCACAUAAAGGGAACACCCCAAAAAACUGCUCACCGAUACUGCCAGCCCUCAACUGCAUCACCUACAUUUUACUGAUAUCAUUUAUAUUUUACCCAGGAUGACUCUAUGUGAACCCCUGCUGGAUGCCUGAGGCUCACUGAAUAGAGGUUGGCACAGAGGAAGAUGUGUUCGCAGGGCCUUGGAGAGAUGCCCGCUCAGUAUAAUGCUGGUGGAUGGAGUUGCAUGUGCUCAUAAAGCUGAGUGUAGAAAGGCUUCAAAACCACUCACAGCUUUUGAAACAGGAAGAGCAGAGACCUCCGGUCCACUAUGGUUUUACUGCCUACUCAUCAGCAUUCGUCCGCAGAAAUCGAUUUCAUAGAAAAUUCAAAUGGAUUUUAAAAGUUGUAUCCGACUGAGGUCUAAUUAUUCUGUAACCAGCCUAAUUAUACAGGUCUUCCUAAAGAUUAAUUAGUAUUAUUCGUUCAGGUGAUCCACUGACUAGUCAAUUUUAAAAUUGUGUAGCACCACUAACUGUAGACCAAAAGUAAAGGUUUUUAGAAUUUAUUUUGAAAUCAAGUGUUUGCAAACAGAAUUUUGAACAGCUGUAGUUUAAAGCUAUAACAAGAAAUAAAUGAUCUUUAGUAAACCUUGAACUGAACCA
ensembl:lncRNA